GCUCCCGUAGUGUAGUCCGGCCAAUCUUUCUUAUUAACUAAAGAAAGGGCUUGGCAUGCUAGGCUUUCACCCUGGUGACCCGGGUUCGAAUCCCGGCGGGAGCA
rnacentral:tRNA from 1 species